rnacentral:rRNA from 1 species
AACGAACGCUGGCGGCAGGCCUAACACAUGCAAGUCGAACGGGACCUUCGGGUCUAGUGGCGGACGGGUGAGUAACGCGUGGGAACGUGCCCUUUGGUUCGGAAUAGCCCUGGGAAACUGGGAGUAAUACCGGAUACGGUCGAGAGACGAAAGAUUUAUCGCCGAAGGAUCGGCCCGCGUUGGACUAGGUAGUUGGUGGGGUAAUGGCCUACCAAGCCGACGAUCCAUAGCUGGUUUGAGAGGAUGAUCAGCCACACUGGGACUGAGACACGGCCCAGACUCCUACGUGAGGCAGCAGUGGGGAAUCUUAGACAAUGGGGUAAACCCUGAUCUAGCCAUGCCGCGUGAGCGAUGAAGGCCUUAGGGUUGUAAAGCUCUUUCAGUGGGGAAGAUAAUGACGGUACCCACAGAAGAAGCCCCGGCUAACUCCGUGCCAGCAGCCGCCGUAA